UGGAAAAGUGCCUCUUAGGCUCUCAUUAGAUCUGGACACACCUUUUAACCAGUAUUCUGAGUUGGCGUAGGGCCGAUCGUGCAUGCUGGUGGCGAAGCCCAUUCUUGGUCUGGUUCUUCUGAGGCUCCAGCCAGAAUAUGUCUCAUUUAGUGGCUCAGUGAAGGGGUUGGAAGUCAGAGGCUCUGGAUGAAAGCUAGCUGCCUUCCUCAGGACUGGUACCGGGGCCACGUGUCAUGAGAUUGUGUGUGAUAUAAGAUGUGCGAAGGUUCUGUUAGGAUCUGUCCAAAUACCAGGCACAGUUAGGAUUUUUUCUUAUUAAUGCACAUGAGAUUGUAAGACCACACUUUCUUUUAAAUCACAGUGUAGCUCUGAUGAACAGCUCAGUAGGCAGGGUUUUUUGAAAAACAAACUUUCUUCCACUCGGAGCUCAUGGACAUGGAGCAAGGGACCUGGAGCUGAGAAGUGGAGCUCUGGUCCUAGGGCCACCUCUCUGGGUUCCCAAAGUCCCCUUGGAAUGCUGUAACCCCGCAUUGUUCUAGAAUCAUUGCUUUUCAUGUCCUUCUCCCCACCCCUAGACAGUCAGCCCUUUGAAGGCAAGGACUAUGUCCUAUUCCACCUUGAAUUCUCAUCACCAAGCGGAACGCCUGACACCUAAUCUAGUCAGUGCUUACUAAGUGCUCAUUAUCAAUGCAAGAAUAACAGAGCUAUGGAACCUGGCAGCCACCUCUUUUCUUUGGGCCUCAGUCUUCUCAUGCAGAACUUGGGAUUGGACUAAAUUGGAUCUCCUAGGCUGCCUCUGACUCUAACAAUUCUCUGAUUUAAAUUAUUCUUCAUCUGGAUGUAAUCCACCUUGCUUUUCCAUCCCAGGCUCUGUUCUCACUCAUGGCUGAUGGGCAAAGGCGACUAAGGAGGCACGGCUCCGUGAGGAUGUCCUUACAACUUUGCAACCCCCAAGGAAAAAGAGAUGUGGAUUUUAUGGAAUAGAUGCUAUGUGGUGGAAUCCUGAGUCACGGCCAAACAGCAAAUGCCAGCAAGAGUAGAGUAGGAGGCAUUUCUGUGUACACUUUGGGAAAAAGUCCAUUCCUCACUUGGUUUCAUUUCUGGCCUGAGCCGCUGUGUCCUCCACCUGAAGCCCUGACCUCUCCGUUACUGACUGGAUCCCAAUGUGCCACAGUUCACCUGCAUAAGGAGGGGGUCGAAGACAAGAAAACUGUGAGAGGCUAAGUAAUUUGCUGAGCUCAUAUGACAUCUAAAUGGCAGAGCUCAGAAACCUCAGGGAUUAGAGUGAAGUAGAAUAGAGGAAGUUAACCUUUCCAGUGCUACCUGCGGGCUGAGAAUGACGCACACAGCUUUUUUGAUACCCGGAAGUGAGACAAACUCAUAAGAUGGGGUGAGGAAAUGAGACAUCAAAAGAUUAAGUGACUUGCUAAAAUUUACACUGCCUACGAAAGCUGACCUGGAAUGUGAACCAGAAAUUGUCCUUAACCAAAUCACCUCACUGUCUCUCAAGAGAUGGGGUCUCACUACAUUGCCCAGGCUGGCUCUCAAAU
rnacentral:lncRNA from 1 species